CCCUUAGAUGUUCUGGGCUGCACGCGCGCUACACUGGUGCGUUCAGCGAGUUUAGCACCUUAACAGAUAUGUUUGGGUAAUCUUCUGAAAACGCACCGUGAUGGGGAUCGAUUAUUGUAAUUAUUAAUCGUCAACGAGGAAUUCCUAGUAAGUGUGAAUCAUCAGUUCGCGCUGAUUACGUCCCUGCCCUUUGUACACACCGCCCGUCGCUACUACCGAUUGAAUGGCUUAGUGAGCCUUUGGGAUUGGCAGCCAACACCGGCAACGGUAGCUGGCCGCCGAAAACUUAUGCAAACUUGGUCAUUUAGAGGAAGUAAAAGUCGUAACA
rnacentral:rRNA from 1 species